CAGUAGCAUCCAUCCAGACACCAGCACUGACACUGGCCGUGCUCAGAACUGCCUCAGCCCUGAAGACACAACUGACAAAUAGAAGGGGGCUACGCCCUAUGACAGCAGGUGCUCUCACUUUGUGGGUCCUUAUGUAACUGCACGAUGUUAAUCAGGAUCGCCCGUUCUACAUUGUGUAGCGCUGCUGCGGUGUCUCCUAGUUACUUGUUUCUUGUAAGAAUUCCGGUGACUGAGUUAGAAGCAUGCUUCCAAGCUGUGCGUGUCCUCGGCAUCCAGAAGCGGAGCCUGGAAGCUUCCGAAUUUCUCCAGAAUGCAGUCUACAUUCACCUUCGGCAAGGCCUGCAACAUGAGCAUCCCUGACUACGUGCAGUGUGCUGAGGACCACCAGACUUUCCCCGUGGUGGUCGAACACGUGGGGAUCAUCUCAGAGGAGAAUUUCUUUUGCAUCUAUAAGUGAAUCACCUUGGUGAGUCAGAUCAGUCCGUGCAGCUCCCAGUGGGCAAACUGUAUCCACUACAGUCACCACUAUGCGCCCAAGAAUGGGUGGAGCGACUUCCAGACCCACCGCAAGGUCUUGGGCCUUGUCAUCAUUACUGACUGCCUCUCGGCCAAGGCUUCGAAAAGCUCCACGUGCAGAGGAGCUGUAUGGCACCACGCUCUAUGACUCUCAGCUCUUUGACUUUCUGCUGCAUGGGGAGGUGGCCGAGCAGCCGCGCACCGAAGUGGCCUUCAAUUUACGAGGACUGCAGGGAGGUGGAGAAGAGGAUCGACGACUUCACUGAGUCACUCUUCAUCUUGCCCAAGUCCAAGUGGCUGGACGGUGCAUCCGACAAUUCUGGGGACAAGAUCCUCCUUCUCUGCAUCCCAUUUGAGAAGGAGGACAUCAUGGGACUGGACACAGAAAGCAGUACGUUUUGGUUACUGAGUCCCUCGAAUUCCCAUAUGAAUAGUAGCAGCAGCUAGUCAGUUACUGCAGAGGAGCCCGCUGGGAUUGUGAUCGAGACCACGUUGAGUAUACAGAUCGCUCUGGGGAGCACUGCCAUCCCAAGAGCGUUGUCAUGUGAUCCAGGAAUGUGCGUGGUGUGUCUGUACAGAGUUCUAUGUAUAGUUGGUUACAUUCUAUACCUGGAAAUUUCUCCAAAACUGCUUCCCACGUGCCCUCACCUCCAGUGGCAUCCAUCCAGACACCAGCACUGACACUGGCCGUGCUCAGAACUGCCUCAGCCCUGAAGACACAACUGACAAAUAGAAGGGGGCUACGCCCUAUGACAGCAGGUGCUCUCACUUUGUGGGUCCUUAUGUAACUGCACGAUGUUAAUCAGGAUCGCCCGUUCUACACUGUGUGACGCUGCUGCCGUGUCUCCUAGUUAUUUCUGAUCUGAGAAGCAGGAGCAAGGAACUCAGGGAGAGAUCCAGGAAGACAUCUGACUCUGUUAAGAGACGACAGUCACAGCGACACGGGGAGCGAGGACACUUGCAGCAAAGUAAAAUGACUUCACAACUAUUGCAUCAGAGCUGCAGGUGUGAGAGAGCCUAAGCCUGUCUCAGAGUGCAGGGGACAAGAGGAAAGGAAUGCAUUCCUAGGAGAGAAUUCAGCAGUGCAGCAUCCUCUCCGAGCUCUAUGAGUUGAUCGGCUUCCACCGCAAGUCCGCCUUCUUCAAGCGGGUGGCCCCCGUGCAGCGCGCGGCCCCCGGCAUCCCGGAGCCUGGCGGGAAGGUCUUCUACCGACUCCUUCUGCAGACGCUUCCUGGCUACAGUCUGUCGCGGGAUCUGCAGGACUUCAGCAAAGGUGUUGGAACUAAAACAUUGCUUCAGUCCCAUUAACCAUGCCUGGUUUGGGCCCUGCUGUCCUGUCUCAUCAGGGUGAAUUCUGAUUCGUUUAGAAUAGGGCUCAGCAGACUUUUUCUGUCAAGAGCUUGGGAGUAAAUAUUUCAGGGUCUGCAAACCUCCUGAUCUCUGGUGCAGCUGCUCAGCUCUGCUGUUCAGACGCCAGAGCAUCCGGACAUUCCACACACCCACAGAGCUUUAUUAACAGCGGUGUCUGGGGCUGGAUUCAGUGUAUGAACUGCAGUUUGUCCCCACAGCCUCCUCACUAUUGACGCCUGCACCAGAGCAUGCAUUUGCGACAAUGGGUGAACCUGCACUGACACGUCAUCAUCACCCAGAGCCCAGACUUAACACUAGGAUUUACACUUGGUGGUGUGCACUCUGUGGGUUUGGACAUAUGUGCAAUGACAUGUAUCCACCGUCACAGCAUCAUACAGAGUAGUCUGUCUUAGUGACCUUAAAAUGCUCUGUGCUGCACCUCAUUCAUUGCUCCUUCCCCUCUAGCCUCUGACAGCCACUGAUCUUUUAGUCUCUGUGGUUUUCCCUUUCCCAGAACACCAUACAGUUGGAAUCAGACAGUUGCGGAACCUUCCCAGAUUGGCUUCUUUCACUUAGUAAUAUGCAUUUAAGGUUCCUCCAUGUCUUUCCAUGCCUUGAUAACUCAUUUCAUUUUAGCACCAAAUAAUAGUCCAUUUUCUGGCUGGACCACAGUUAAUCCAUUCACCUACUGAAGAACAGCUUAGUUGCUUCUGAGUUCUGGUGAUUAUGAAUAAAGCUGCUAUUAACAUCUGUAUGCAGUUUUGUGUGUGGACAUAAGUUUCCAUUUCGUCGAGUAAACACCAAGGAGCACAGUUGCCGGAUCAUGUGUUAGGAGUACGUUUAGUUUUGUAAAAAAUUGCCAGACCGUCUUCCAAAGUAUCUGGGCCAUUUUACAUUCCCACCAGCAAUGCAUGAGAAUUCCUUAUGCUCCACAUCCUCACCAGCAUUUGGUGCUGUCAGUGUUCAGAGUUUUGGCAGUUCUGACAGGUGUGCAGUGGUACCUCGCUGUUUCAGUCUGCAUCCCCUUGAUGACAGAUGCUGUGGAGCAUCUUUCCAUAGACUUCUUUGGCAUCUAGAUUUUUUCUUUGAUGAGAUCUGUGUCAGGAAUUUUGCUCAUUUUUUAAUCAGGUUGUUCAUCCUUCUUGUUGAGUUUAAAGAGAUUUUGGUAUAUUCUGGAUAUCAGCCCUUUAUCAAUGUGUCCCUGCCCUUCACCUGCAGCACCGGAGUUGUCCUUUGGGUCUCAGUGGAGUGUCAGCUCUUCAAAGAGGUUCCCUGUCUUCCCUCAGCCUAAAUACUGUCCUUGUAUUUUUCACUUUCAUUGACUCAUUUUGUUCUUUUUAAAUAGCAUUUCCCAUAAUUUGUAAUUAUAUUAAAAAAAAGGGCAAUGAUUGAACACCACCUCCCCACCAGGCUGUGUGCCCUGUGAGAGCAGAGGCCCUGUCCCCACUCACCAUUUCCCAUGACAGCACAUGGCACAUGUCCAUGUAAAAGUGUGUAACGUGGGGCCAAACCUGAUGAGCAGCUAUGAUGACAUGUGUUGGCUACCAUUUAUUGAGUAGACUUUGUUUCUGAUGUAAAUUAUUAAAUCACAUGAAUUAAACUUGUUUGUUUUGAAAAAUAAAACAACAAAGCCCACCUCCA